GACGGGGGAUGCAAGUGUUAUCCGGAAUCACUGGGCGUAAAGCGUCUGUAGGUGGUUACAUAAGUCAACUGUUAAAUCUUGAGGCUUAGCCUCAAAAUCGCAGUCGAAACUGUUUGACUAGAGUAUAGUAGGGGUAAAGGGAAUUUCCAGUGGAGCGGUGAAAUGCGUAGAUAUUGGAAAGAACACCGAUGGCGAAGGCACUUUACUGGGCUAUUACUAACACUGAGAGACGAAAGCUAGGGUAGCAAAUGGG
rnacentral:rRNA from 1 species